CGUCGCGAAGCUGACCGAAUUUCUGCAGAUGUCGCCGCCAUCCGCCACCCCGCCGGUCCCGUCCCUGCCGAGCGCCAUCCCCUCCCAUCCCUGGCCCGCCCAGGCCACGCUGCCGAGCGCGGGAGGCCCCGAAACUCCUCUUCCAACAUGCCCAGGGCUGGGCUACGCCUCCGCCACAGCCACCACUGGCACUGCCGCCCUUGUCCCCGCACUUACCCAGGCCGCGCCACCACCGUGCUCGCCACGAGGUGCGUUGCAUAGGUCCCAGCCCCUACCAUCCUGGAGAACUGUUUUUUGGUCGAGUGCCACCUCCGCAUCCGGCACACUUGCCAAGGCAUCUUCCACGGUGGGGCGCGUCGGAUCUGGUGGGAUCAGACGAGAGUUGUAACUCCCCAAAUAAGCACUGCACCCACAUCCCGGUCGCCGUCGCCGCGCUCCGUGGUUCGCCUGCAAUCGCACAACUUGAGACAACGACGAUGGAGGCGAAGCGCAAGACGAUGCCCAGUUCGAACCCGUGUAGGUGCCGUGCUCCAUGCCGUCAUCACCAAGAAUCUGGCCAACUCUUAGGUCUACUGCAGCAGCGGAGUCGCCAGUCUAACUGCGUUGUGUCAUGGUGACACGAACCCACCUGCUUUCCCUGGAUGGCGCAAGCCACCGGCGAUGGCGUCAGCAACUGGUGUCUGACCAUUUCCUCCCUUCCUCCAGCUGCAACCACCGAGGCGAGUGCAACCUUGACACGAUGGCGACCGUGUUAUUAACUUAUUACUAGGAUCAACGGGAGAAGGUUGGUAAGCAAGGUAGAGUCCAUUUUCUAAGAAAAAUGUUGCUUUGCAUCCGCACUAUAAUCUGCUAUGCUCACAACGUCACUACCGCUUCUGCUACUCUCGCCAAGUCACCAUGUCCAUCUUGAUGGCAUUUUGAUUAUCAGUGUCAACGGGAUUACCAUAUGAUGUACAUUAAAUAUAAUGUUUGGUGAGGGCCAUAAAAAUGUUGCUUUGCUGUAAUAAAUCCUAAUCUGACAUCUAGAAAGCAAGCUCACACCUGUUCAAGUAGAUUUUAGUUAUAGGAGGUCCUGCAAUAAUACUGUACAAUUUUUGGUAAUUCUGAAGUUUACCACUCAGUUUCUUUAUUAACUCUGUCCUUUCUCCAAAUUUAUGACCAUUUUCAUCAGCACAUGAUAGAUAUUCAAUGCAAUUAGAAAUUAGGAAGUUUUUUCAUA